UACGUAGGGGGCGAGCGUUGUCCGGAAUUACUGGGCGUAAAGAGAGCGUAGGCGGCACUACAAGUCUCAUGUGAAAUACCCGGGCUUAACUUGGGGGUUACAUGGGAAACUGUAGAGCUUGAGUACAGGAGAGGCAAGCGGAAUUCCUAGUGUAGCGGUGAAAUGCAUAGAUAUUAGGAGGAACACCAGUGGCGAAGGCGGCUUGCUGGACUGAAACUGACGCUGAGGCUCGAAAGCGUGGGGAGCAAACAGG
rnacentral:rRNA from 1 species